AGUGAACGCUGGCGGUAGGCCUAACACAUGCAAGUCGAACGGCAGCACAGGAGAGCUUGCUCUCUGGGUGGCGAGUGGCGGACGGGUGAGGAAUACAUCGGAAUCUACUCUGUCGUGGGGGAUAACGUAGGGAAACUUACGCUAAUACCGCAUACGACCUACGGGUGAAAGCAGGGGACCUUCGGACCUUGCGCGAUUGAAUGAGCCGAUGUCGGAUUAGCUAGUUGGCGAGGUAAAGGCCCACCAAGGCGACGAUCCGUAGCUGGUCUGAGAGGAUGAUCAGCCACACUGGAACUGAGACACGGUCCAGACUCCUACGGGAGGCAGCAGUGGGGAAUAUUGGACAAUGGGCGCAUGCCUGAUCCAGCCAUACCGCGUGGGUGUAGAAGGCCUUCGGGUUGUAAAGCCCUUUUGCUGGGAAAGAAAUCCAGCUGGCUAAUACCCGGUUGGGAUGACGGUACCCAAAGAAUAAGCACCGGCUAACUUCGUGCCAGCCGCCGCCGUAA
rnacentral:rRNA from 1 species